AGCUUUGCGCAGUGGCAGUAUCGUAGCCAAUGAGGUUUAUCGAGGCACGAUUAUUGCUAAUUGAAAACUUUUCCUAAAAAUCGUUUUUGUUACCCCUACAUGAGUGUAUUCAUUUCUUUCAUAGAGGCAGCUUU
ensembl:snRNA U4 U4 spliceosomal RNA